rnacentral:snRNA from 1 species
UCAGCGGACUGCUCGAGCU